rnacentral:rRNA from 1 species
GACGAACGCUGGCGGCGUGCUUAACACAUGCAAGUCGAACGGAAAGGCCCUGCUUUUGUGGGGUGCUCGAGUGGCGAACGGGUGAGUAACACGUGAGUAACCUGCCCUUGACUUUGGGAUAACUUCAGGAAACUGGGGCUAAUACCGGAUAGGAGCUCCUGCUGCAUGGUGGGGGUUGGAAAGUUUCGGCGGUUGGGGAUGGACUCGCGGCUUAUCAGCUUGUUGGUGGGGUAGUGGCUUACCAAGGCUUUGACGGGUAGCCGGCCUGAGAGGGUGACCGGCCACAUUGGGACUGAGAUGCGGCCCAGACUCCUACGGGAGGCAGCAGUGGGGAAUAUUGCACAAUGGGCGGAGGCCUGAUGCAGCAACGCCGCGUGCGGGAUGACGGCCUUCGGGUUGUAAACCGCUUUCGCCUGUGACGAAGCGUGAGUGACGGUAAUGGGUGAAGAAGCACCGGCUAACUACGUG